rnacentral:rRNA from 1 species
CAGUCGCCGCGGUAAAACGGAGGGUGCAAGCGUUAAUCGGAAUUACUGGGCGUAAAGCGCACGCAGGCGGUCUGACAAGUCAGAUGUGAAAUCCCCGGGCUUAACCUGGGAACUGCAUUUGAAACUGUCAGGCUGGAGUCUUGUAGAGGGGGGUGGAAUUCCAGGUGUAGCGGUGAAAUGCGUAGAGAUCUGGAGGAAUACCGGUGGCGAAGGCGGCCCCCUGGACAAAGACUGACGCUCAGGUGCGAAAGCGUGGGGAGCAAACAGGAUUAGAUACCCCGGUAGUCCCUGUCUCUUAUAC